rnacentral:tRNA from 1 species
GGCCUCCUAGCUUAGCGGUAUAAAGUGCCUGCCUAGUAAGCAGGAGAUCCUGGGUUUGAAUCCCAGGGGGCCCU